AGAAAAUAAGCUUAAAGCACUUCAUUUACACUGAAAAGUAACUUGUAUAAACAAGAUUUUCUA
rnacentral:tRNA from 1 species